rnacentral:misc_RNA from 1 species
UUGAAUAAUGUCUGGCAGGAGGCUGUUGCUGGCCCAAUAAUGUGGCAUGUGCACGCCUCUAUAAAAGUCAGUUUUGAGUUACAUUUUCCUGUGCAUUUUUGUAGACACUUUGGAUUGAGGAACUGUGUUGGUUUCUUGCUGUGAAUAUCAAGGUGUCUAUGCUUUUUAAUCAAUACAAAGCAUGUAUCAGAAUGGUUAUUGAUAAUGAAUAAAGUUGAAUA